AAAAUAUACUAUGUGGCCAAAAAUAAUAAUAAGUAGUAUGACUAAAAGUGGAGAUCACUCUAUUAACAGGAUAGGAGGCUAGAGUAUUAGAUAUAUACACCCCAUAAUAUUAUUUUUGGCCACAUAGUAUAUUUU